CCUACGGGACGCACCAGUGGGGAAUAUUGGACAAUGGGCGCAAGCCUGAUCCAGCCAUACCGCGUGGGUGAAGAAGGCCUUCGGGUUGUAAAGCCCUUUUGUUGGGAAAGAAAUCCUAUCGGUUAAUGACCGGUGGGGAUGACGGUACCCAAAGAAUAAGCACCGGCUAACUUCGUGCCAGCAGCCGCGGUAAUACGAAGGGUGCAAGCGUUACUCGGAAUUACUGGGCGUAAAGCGUGCGUAGGUGGUGGUUUAAGUCUGCUGUGAAAGCCCUGGGCUCAACCUGGGAAUUGCAGUGGAUACUGGAUUACUAGAGUGUGGUAGAGGGAUGCGGAAUUUCUGGUGUAGCAGUGAAAUGCGUAGAGAUCAGAAGGAACAUCCGUGGCGAAGGCGGCAUCCUGGGCCAACACUGACACUGAGGCACGAAAGCGUGGGGAGCAAACAGGAUUAGAUACCCCCGUAGUC
rnacentral:rRNA from 1 species